AAGAGCAUUUUCAGCACCCUCUAGAGAGUGAGAGCUGCCGGUCAGUGUGGGAUGGACAGCUGAGCCGCGCUUCAUGUCACUCCUCACAAGGCCUGGCUACUGCCGGCGCACACGCGUUUCAAGGUGACAGUGGCCUCUGGGGGAAGAAAGCCCAGAGCUCUGUCAGGCUCCAGGGCACCCGAGCCAGGUAAAGGGAAGCCAGCGGCGUCAGAGGGGAACCCAGCUGGCCGAUGCCGAGACCUUCUCUUUUUAUGUGAAAGAUGUUGAGAGGGUGACAUCCUGACAUCCAGUCAACCCUGAAGGAUCACCCUGCAUGGAUGUGAUGAUCCCACUGCCUCCCAGCCACGGGCUAGGACUGGCCAGGAGAGCCUCCCCCGCCUCCGCCGCAGCGAUGGAUACGGUGGGAGCUGUCUGCUGAGGAGCCUUCCGGGAGAGAAGUCUUUAGUCCUUAGGAGACGGGGAGAGCUUGUCUCUCUGCUCCUCCUCUUCUGGAUGCUGCUGUGUCUCAAUGUGAGGUGAUGCCUGGAUCCUGGCAGUCAUCUUGUGUCACUGAGGAGGCCCAACUGAGGGCAAUGCCAACAUUUAUGGAGUCUAAUGGCGUCCUGUCUCCCUCUGGGCUCGUCGGCCCUGUGCCAGCAGCUGUGGAUGCAGCACCUGCUGUGUGUGAGCCCGCUGUGUCCUUCAGGGGUCUCCUGAGGAGUGUCCUCCCGUUCGGUCGGGGAGACCAAGACCAGGGCAGAGACGGCACCCACAGACUUCCAGCCUCUGCAUUUCGCUUCUCAGUGUGGGCCAGCGUGACAGGGCCUCUGCGUCCUAAAGUUGUCACUUGUGCCCCAAGCACCUCUGGCCCCGUAGCCUCCACCUCCAGGGCCCUCCUCCUCUCGGCCCCCGAAGCCUUCUGCAGGGAGCCGAGCCCUCGUCUCCCCCUCUCUGACCCCGCCCCGAGUGGGAUCAGCCACCACCUCUGGGGAGGACGCCCGCCAGCACCCCUGCCCCACCGAGGAGCUGACCCCUCUGACGCUCUUGCUUAGGUUCACGAUGACUCUGCAGGCACCACUGUGCCCGCUGCACAGGGAGAACACGGAAGCCCAGGGCCGGAGGAGGCUGAGCUGAGCACCCAGGUGGGCACAGAUCCAGGGGCCACCCAGCUCUGUCUGACCUCAAAGCCCAGGUCGGGUGGAGGACGGGCAGACCUGAGGGCCAGUUUCCACGGAGGACAAGAUCACAGGAAGCGAGGCCGUCUGGGCUGGCGUGCAGGCUCCAGGGCCAUGAUGGCGCGGCGACUCUGGUGCCCUGACCCCCGUGGGCUCAGCCGGAGGAAGGACGAUGUGAGGAGGACCCGCCUUUAGGAGACAGUCCCUGAGCUGCUGGGAGGGACACUGUCUCUAUUCUCUG
rnacentral:lncRNA from 1 species